UUGAGAGUCGUUCUGUAUUGGAACAAGCUCAUGAGAUGAUAUGCAUAGCUAAAGCACUUGAGGUUCUUAAGUGUGAUUUACCAUGUUAUGGACCAGUUCCAUGAUUACAAAAUGGUUGAGAUCCAUUCUCUAUUGGAACUCAUGAGAUAAUAUGCAUUGCUAAAGAACUUGAGGUUCUUAAGUGUGAUUUACUGGGCAAAUUUGUCAUGGGGUGUAUAAUCGCUAAGCUCCGUAAUUCCUGGAGGAAAUUUGCUAACACUUUAAAACAUCAUAGGCGUGAAUUCUCAAUAGAGGAUAUCAUCGGCAAUCUGAGUGUUGAGCAGAACUCGAGAGCAAAGGUCUCGCAUGGAAAAGCAGUCGAAGGUCCUUCUGUUGCCAAUAUGAUACAUCAGAGGAACUUCAAUUCCCACAAGUCCAAGGGGAAGAAUUAUGUCCAACAGAAUACCGACUUUAAGAAGAAGGGAAAGAAGACCUUCAAGAUGAACAAGAAGGGAGAUCUUCAAGAUGGACAAGAAGGGAGAUGGCUGCUUCAAUUGUGGUUCCGAGGAACAUUGGGCCACUAAGUGCCCAAAUAAGUACAAGAAGCGAGGGCAAGACUCCAAGUCUGCCAAUAUGAUUGUGAACAACAAUGAAAGUGGUGCAUCUGGUAAUGGUCACAGGCCGAGGGUCCGUAUUGAUGGGGAAUGGCGCGAGUGCUUCUUUUCUUGGUGUUGGCACGGUUCAUCUAAAGUUUACUUCAAGAGGGAUCGUGCAACUGAAGAACGUGCAUCAUGUCUCCGCCAUCAAGAAGUACCUCAUUAAUGGCUCCCUUCUAUGUAGAGAAGGGUUUUAGUUGGUCUUUGAGUCUAAUAAAGUAGUUGUUACGAAAUAUGAAAUUUUUGUUGUAAAAGGUUAUGAAUGCGGACAUCUGUUCUGCCUUUCCUUUGUAGUUUUUUUUGUAAUAAAGUCGUGAAUAAUACUCAUUCGAGUGUCAAUGAAUCUGAAAUUUGGCAUUCA